AUUUAAAAAUUGCUUUAUAUGAAAUGAUAUUAAUAAAAAAAUUAUUUAUUGAAAGUUGUAUCCUCUAAAUAUUUAUAUUUGACUAAACUAAUUUAGAUAAUACUAUAUUUACUAUAGAUUAUUUGUUUGUAAUUAUUGAAUGUAUCUAUCUUAGUAAAAACUUCUUUGACUAUAGAUUAUUUGUUUGUAAUUAUUGAAUUUAUCUAUCUUAGUAAAAUUUUCUUUCUAAUAAGUCUUCUUAACAUAGAGUGGCUUUUGUAAACUUUUUUUCUUUUCUCUUGCUUUGUUUUAUACCAUCUCAAUUCAAAACUUUUAUUUAGUUGUUAAACGAAAUGAUUUUAGAACUCAAAUGUAGAGUACUUUUAUAUUGAUUUUUUUUGUUUAAGCAGUUCAUAUAAAGUUUUUUAAUAUAUUUAUUUGAAUAGAAAUUAUAUUAAAUCUGAAAUUCAGUAAACAAUUUUGUAAUUUUUUACAUAGCAAUGUAACAUAUUUCCCUAUUAUUUCAAUAUAUACAUCAUAAUAUGAAAUUUUAUAAGUUUUACUAAUCACUUUUGUACAUGUAAUGUAUGAGUUAAAUAAAUGGGCCAUAGAUGCAAACAUUUAAACAAAGGGUCCAACCUAAGCCCAAUUUUAAUUAACAAACAGAUUAGUCCGGGAAGAAAAAGCUUGCAAACAAACCUAAUCUUUUUUUUUCUUCUGAGUAUGCUUCCUUUUUGUCGUUGAAGCAAAUGGGAAUUUUCAUUUUUCCCGUUCAUCUCUUUACCACGGUGCUGCUUUUUAUCCGAGAUCAAAUCAUGGAGCGAUUUUUUAUGAGGAAAGCGAGGAUUCAAUCUCUUUGUCUCUGCUAACCUUAAAAUACUUAAGUGAUUCAAAAUUGGAGACUAAUAUGUAGCUUGAAACAUGCAACCAGUAAUGAAAGCAGAGGAUGAUGAAUCAGUGAGGAUGAAUGGAAUUGUGUGUUCAAGAUGGAUCGUCUCAAAUAAUAUACCAUUCGUAAUGAAACAAAAACUCGAAAUUUUGAAUCCAGUGAAUCAGAAUUGAGGAUCUCUAAGGUUUUCCAUGUCCUCACAGUUGGGAACUUUCAUAUUUGUGUGUUUGUCUAAUAUCUCUGUAAAUACAAAUAAAUGUGCAGAUUUAAUCACCUUGCAGAGAUCAACGGAGCAAAGGAUGAAUCUUUCUAUUAGGCAGAUGAUACAAAGAGAUAAAGUUCCCAAAUUUUAUUAUGGUCUGUACGCAUAUGAGGUAACAAAUACACUGUCAUGUAUUAUUCUUCUUUCUCAAUUCAUUGUGUAUGGUGGUUUGUAAAUAAUAUAUAUGUGUUAUUUGAUUUGCAUGAUUUCAAACUUUUGGAGAACGAAGACCAGACUCCGAUUCCAAGUUUAGACAACACAUUUGUCGACCACACUUCAGAUUACAAAACACAGUUAGUAAAUUCCAUUAUUUAUUUUAGCUAUUAGGUGAAUGAAGUAUCAAUUGGCUUUUUCAUUAGAUGAAAGCAACUUAGCAGUAUCUAGGAUUUCGAUCAAGUUAUUUUGUUGGUUUAACUAUAUCUGGUAGCUUUUAACUUGAUUGAUUAAAGAAUAUAUUUGUUAAUGUGAA